UUAAUUAGUAUUAGUUUAAUUCUUGAAAAUUAAAGAUUUUGGCGGUAUUUUAGUCUUUUCAGAGGAACCUGUUCUAUAAUUGAUAUUCCACGUUAAAUUGAACUUAUUUUAAUUAGUUUGUAUAUCGUUGUAGUUGAAUAUUUUAGAAGAAUUUAAAUAUUCAAAAUUUUUUAUUAAAAAAAAAAUCAAAUCAAGGUGCAGCUUAUAAAUAAGAAGAAAUGGGUUACAUUAAAUUAAUUUAAAUGGUAUAAAAAUUGAAAAAUUUUUGUUAAAGUGGAUUUGAAAGUAAUAAAAUUAAUUUUAAUUUUAUGAUUUUAGCUCUAAAAUAUGCACACAUCGCCCGUC
rnacentral:rRNA from 1 species